rnacentral:lncRNA from 1 species
CGGGUAAAAAAAUGGGAUGUUGAGAAAAAGAAUGAAUUCGUAGAAUUUAUUGAUAAGGACAAAAUUUCAGAUUUGGUUGCCGAAUUAGAAUCAGUUGACAGUAACCUUUUAUCUCAAGGCAAAAUUAACGAAGUAGUCGAAAAAAUUAACAGCAUAUUAUUGGAUGCUGCAGAUAAUGUUCUAGGUACAUAUAAUGCUAGCCAAGGGAGUCGUACAGGGAAAAAAUGGGCAAAAAGGGGAACAAACCAUGGUUUGAUAAGCAAUGUUGGAAUAAGAGAAAGAUUUACAGGGGAGCAAAGAGAAAUUAUAACAGUAAUAGAUCAGAAGCAAAAAGGGAAGAAAUGAAAAAGAAAGAACGGGAAUAUA